UCUGUGCUCCACCGCCUUCUUCUUCUUUCCAUCAUCAACGCAUCUUUUCAUUCUUCUUCCUUCAUCUCUUGAAAUUCUUUCUAAUUCUUUAUUUUCUUUUUCAUCUUUUCCCCAAUCUCAAACAGAUUACUCAUUCUUUUUUCCCCUUGAUUUAUUCCCGAUGCUGGCAUCUUUUGAAGGUAAGGACGAUUUUAGAAGACAGACAGGAGAGGGGAUAAUGCUGCUGAAGUAGUGGGUGGCGAAAGGGGAGAUGAAGAUGAGGGAUCUUGGGUUUGAAGUCUGAAUACUUCCUUUGCACCGCCAAGUCUCGCUGCUAACGUUGCAUUGUGUGCAUGACAUAUGGCGAUUGAUAGGAUAUAGUCUCUGGAAGUGUUUGGGGCAGGGGGUAUGGAGGUUCAGAUAAUGUGAUUACUGAUGAGAUAGAGCUCCAGCAACAUCAAAACUUGAGAAGCUCUGCAUAUCAACAUGAGCGGGCUUAUGCCAGUUUUUUAUUCUUAUAAACAUUUUACUUCAAUGGAUCGAAGCAAGUUGAAAUAGGUUAGUAAGAUUGGUGGUGAAAUUGGUACAUGCUAUAUUUUUUUUUAUUAAGGGUAUGAAAUCUUUUAAACUGGAAUUUUAAGGGAUGAAUUCAUUUGUUCAAUGUGAUGUUCAUUUCAUCCUGUCAUUAAAUAUUAUUUUGUCGUAGUGAGUGCCCCCACCUUCAAGUGUGCCUUUUACCCCAAAUUUGAGCAGGAUACAUUGAUGGAUUAUUUAUUAAAGAUUAUUCAUGUUAAUCAUGUUCAGAUGAUCACAUUGAUGGCUCAUUCUUGAUGUUUUGCUUAUGUUUCAAUUUUCAAGGAAGUUAAGCUCAAGGGGAAAGAGAGUUUGGCAGGACUUUACCUUCUUCUAAUUAAUGUGAUAAAUAGAACAAUGGUGUAAAAUGAAGCCAUCACGCGUCAAUUUUAGACCCACCAAAGCUAUGAGUGCAAACUGAAAGUGAGGAAAAAAUGGUGCCCGUGAAACUUCAUUCUUGUGCAGAAAAGGUAGAGUUUGCUAUAGUAUAUCAUUCAUAUGAGUUUAGUAACUUAUCCCAAAUAUGCUUUUGUAGUUCGGAAAAAAUAUCAAAAGUAGGGGGCCUCUAUCGAAUCCUCAAUUUGCAUGAAUAUGGAAUUGCAGCUUUAGUUGGGGUUUCUAUUAGUAGUCUUCGUGAAGCUACUGGAACUAUCAGACUUGGAACAUCCCGAGAGACUGCUUGUGGUCGUCUCUUGAUUAAAUCAAUAUAUACUUUUAGAUGAAUUGAUUAGUUCUUUGUUUUUGUUUUAAAUAGUGGUGAAUGUGAUUACUGCCAUUAAUUUUGACAAAUUAAAACCAAAGAUUAUGUGGAAAUGAUUUCACACACGAGGCCAUAGUGGCCAAUCAUAUGGGUUGCUUUGGCUAAUGAAGCACCUGCUUGGGUAUCAUAUAAAAGGAACAAAACCUCAGUACAUUGAACUGUUAGAGGGUUUUAUAACUGCCUUGCAUUGAAUCCGGUAGGGGGAAAUACAUGGUUAUUUUAUUGAAAAUAAAGGAAGGAAAAUCCAUGGUUACAUGUUAUAUUGUUAUUAUUCUCUUUGUUAGAUUGGAAUGAAGUUCUGAUAAUUUCUUAUAAUUGUUUAGUUCAAGCUGGAUUGAAGGAUUUUUUUUUUUUUUCAGAUUAUCAGUUGUUGUCAUCAUUUUAACAUUAAUACCUGAAAUCCUUGAUCUAUUUACAAUUUAGGUUUGUUCUUUUUCAGUCAUUUGGUAAGUUUAUGUGUUUGUUUGUUUUUUUCUUUAAUCUUGCUUUUGUAAAUGAUGAAGGAAAUUCAGAGUAAUUAGAACUCUGAAAUAUGUUAUUCUAUAUAGAAUGAAGGCAUUAAUUUCUUUUGGAAAAAAAAAAAAAAACCAUGCCUUAUUCGGUUUAUUCUGAAAAGAAAGUGACUUGGCUUGGGUUGUUUGUCAUAUCAUUUUUGCUGUAAGCAAUUAUGCUAUCUUUAAUCUAGCAAAUGCAGAAUAGGCAUCACUGGCAUCUUUAUUAUGUCAUAAAUAUUUUUUUCAAAAAAUUUGGUUAGGCACUUUUCUUUAUUUAUGUCCACUUCCCUUUUCUCAACAACAUUUGUUGGAUUCCUUAAAGAAGGUUGUAGCACCAUA